rnacentral:rRNA from 1 species
AGAGUUUGAUCAUGGCUCAGGAUGAACGCCGGCGGUGUGCCUAAUACAUGCAAGUCGUACGCACUGGCCCAACUGAUUGAUGGUGCUUGCACCUGAUUGACGAUGGAUCACCAGUGAGUGGCGGACGGGUGAGUAACACGUAGGUAACCUGCCCCGGAGCGGGGGAUAACAUUUGGAAACAGAUGCUAAUACCGCAUAACAACAAAAGCCACAUGGCUUUUGUUUGAAAGAUGGCUUUGGCUAUCACUCUGGGAUGGACCUGCGGUGCAUUAGCUAGUUGGUAAGGUAACGGCUUACCAAGGCGAUGAUGCAUAGCCGAGUUGAGAGACUGAUCGGCCACAAUGGAACUGAGACACGGUCCAUACUCCUACGGGAGGCAGCAGUAGGGAAUCUUCCACAAUGGGCGCAAGCCUGAUGGAGCAACACCGCGUGAGUGAAGAAGGGUUUCGGCUCGUAAAGCUCUGUUGCUGGAGAAGAACGUGCGUGAGAGUAACUGUUCACGCAGUGACGGUAUCCAGCCAGAAAGUCACGGCUAACUACGUGCCAGCAGCCGCGGUAAUACGUAGGUGGCAAGCGUUAUCCGGAUUUAUUGGGCGUAAAGCGAGCGCAGGCGGUUGCUUAGGUCUGAUGUGAAAGCCUUCGGCUUAACCGAAGAAGUGCAUCGGAAACCGGGCGACUUGAGUGCAGAAGAGGACAGUGGAACUCCAUGUGUAGCGGUGGAAUGCGUAGAUAUAUGGAAGAACACCAGUGGCGAAGGCGGCUGUCUGGUCUGCAACUGACGCUGAGGCUCGAAAGCAUGGGUAGCGAACAGGAUUAGAUACCCUGGUAGUCCAUGCCGUAAACGAUGAGUGCUAGGUAUUGGAGGGUUUCCGCCCUUCAGUGCCGGAGCU